AGAAGCAGCCAUCAUUUAAAGAAAGCGUAAUAGCUCACUGGUCGAGUCGGCCUGCGCGGAAGAUGUAACGGGGCUAAACCAUGCACCGAAGCUGCGGCAGCGACGCUUAGGCGUUGUUGGGUAGGGGAGCGUUCUGUAAGCCGUUGAAGGUGGCCUGUGAGGGUUGCUGGAGGUAUCAGAAGUGCGAAUGCUGACAUAAGUAACGAUAAAGCGGGUGAAAAGCCCGCUCGCCGGAAGACCAAGGGUUCCUGUCCAACGUUAAUCGGGGCAGGGUGAGUCGACCCCUAAGGCGAGGCUGAAAAGCGUAGUCGAUGGGAAACAGGUUAAUAUUCCUGUACUUGGUGUUACUGCGAAGGGGGGACGGAGAAGGCUAGGCUGGCCGGGCGACGGUUGUCCCGGUUUAAGCGUGUAGGGGGUGUGACCUGGU
rnacentral:rRNA from 1 species